UGGCAGACGGGUGAGUAACGCGUGGGAAUCUACCGUACCCUACGGAAUAGCUCUGGGAAACUGGAAGUAAUACCGUAUACGCCCGCAAGGGGAAAGAUUUAUCGGGGUAUGAUGAGCCCGCGUUGGAUUAGCUAGUUGGUGGGGUAAAGGCCUACCAAGGCGACGAUCCAUAGCUGGUCUGAGAGGAUGAUCAGCCACAUUGGGACUGAGACACGGCCCAAACUCCUACGGGAGGCAGCAGUGGGGAAUAUUGGACAAUGGGCGCAAGCCUGAUCCAGCCAUGCCGCGUGAGUGAUGAAGGUCUUAGGAUUGUAAAGCUCUUUCACCGGAGAAGAUAAUGACGGUAUCCGGAGAAGAAGCCCCGGCUAACUUCGUGCCAGCAGCCGCGGUAAUACGAAGGGGGCUAGCGUUGUUCGGAAUUACUGGGCGUAAAGCGCACGUAGGCGGGUAUUUAAGUCAGGGGUGAAAUCCCAGAGCUCAACUCUGGAACUGCCUUUGAUACUGGGUAUCUUGAGUAUGGAAGAGGUAAGUGGAAUUGCGAGUGUAGAGGUGAAAUUCGUAGAUAUUCGCAGGAACACCACUGCCGAA
rnacentral:rRNA from 1 species